AAAACGCACAACAAGGAUAUCUGGCUGUAGCAGAUCUGCCUCUUCUCCUGACUCGUGGAUUGUAAGACGUGGCAGUGCAGAGUGCAUGACAUCAGCGUCAUUGAGGUCUCUCUUACAGGAGCAUUACAGAUGUGCAGAAUUUCACACGCAUUGUGCAACUGAAGUCCAAGUUCCAGGCUGUCUGCUGAGUGCCAUAGGAAGGGAGGAGAAACAGGACAUAAGAUUAAGGAGAUCAUGGCUGCCAUUGAUCGGAAUCCUAUCAUUGGCUCGUUGAGAGUUUGCCACCUGCAAGCACUUGUUGUGUACUUGAAGGCCCUGAGAAACUCAAAGGAAUACCUGAGCUGCCAGGACUGGUGUCAUCACUGAAAGCGGUCAUAAACAACAUGGCAGAUGCAUCUAUUUCCUCCAGCCAAAGCGACUCACCAUGCACUAGCAGUGACACUUGCAGUGAAGACAUGGUAUUAUGACUGAAGGACCUUGAACCGAUCCCUCAUUAGCAUUGUGCAGGCCCUCCAUGAUUUUGUGAUCUUGCACGUUCACCAAUUCAUGCAAAUUCAGGGACUUUGCUGCAUUUGCGUGUUGUAAUAUUCAAUAAAUGUGAAUGGUGAUGUGUAGUUAUGUUCCUGUUAUUGUGUUAGUAGCAUUAUAUAUCCUUUGCUUGAAUUAUGUAUUUUUGUAAUUUUAUUGUAAUAAAAUGAGAUUUGUAAUCUAUUGUAAUGCACUUGAAAUUAAUUGUAAUGUAAUACACUAACAGUAUAAUAUCGACAUUUAUGCCAAAGUAUAACAAUAUGGGAAUUAAAGUACAGAUAAAAUAUACUUCAAAGACAGUUCUUUUCUACAAUAAAAUAUAAUAA